CCUACGGGUGGCAGCAGUGGGGAAUAUUGGGCAAUGGGCGCAAGCCUGACCCAGCAACGCCGCGUGAAGGAAGAAGGCUUUCGGGUUGUAAACUUCUUUUCUCAGGGACGAAGCAAGUGACGGUACCUGAGGAAUAAGCCACGGCUAACUACGUGCCAGCAGCCGCGGUAAUACGUAGGUGGCAAGCGUUAUCCGGAUUUCCUGGGUGUAAAGGGCGUGUAGGCGGGACUGUAAGUCAGAUGUGAAAACCACGGGCUCAACCUGUGGCCUGCAUUUGAAACUGUAGUUCUUGAGGACUGGAGAGGCAGACGGAAUUCCUAGUGUAGCGGUGAAAUGCAUAGAUAUCGCGCAGAACUCCGAUUGCGAAGGCAGCGUACCGGCGCCAGACUGACGCUGAGGCACGAAAGCGUGGGGAUCGAACAGGAUUAGAUACCCGAGUAGUC
rnacentral:rRNA from 1 species